UACGUAGGGGGCAAGCGUUGUCCGGAAUCAUUGGGCGUAAAGCGCGUGUAGGCGGCCUUGCAAGUCCGUUCUGAAAGUCCGGGGCUCAACCCCGGGAGGCGGAUGGAUACUGCAAGGCUCGAGUACGGAAGAGGCGAGUGGAAUUCCCGGUGUAGCGGUGAAAUGCGCAGAUAUCGGGAGGAACACCAAUGGCGAAGGCAGCUCGCUGGGACGUUACUGACGCUGAGACGCGAAAGCGUGGGGAGCAAACAGG
rnacentral:rRNA from 1 species